GCCACAAUUUCUCAACUCCCACAAUCACUUCUAAAAUACCCCGACCCAAACAUAAGCCUUUAAACCUCCAAACCCUUUCUACUUCUUCAUUUUCACACCAUUAGCAAACAAAGCAGCCCCAAUUUCACUCUCGAUGACGCCGUCUCCUUUGAAAUCCUAUCCAUGUUACCAUCCAGAUCUGGGAAAACCCAAUGAAAACUCACCUUGUACGAUGAAGGACUUGUCAAAAGUUGGAUUUCUUCAUACGCAUCUUACGAACUUUGGUUGUCCAAAAGCUUGUUUCGACGGACGAUCUCAAAAUGGUAUUUCUUCACUUUCUUUUUUACCUUUUAAACACUUCAUUUUGAAUUUUCGUACAAAACUUCUACUGGAAGAGUUUUUCUGAACGGAUUUAUAAGUCCAAAUCUGCCCCAAAUUGAUUGUUUUUUAUUCGAAUCCUAGAAUUGCGUAUUAUUUUCAUUCCAAACAACAGUAUCUAAGGUCAAGAACAAUGUUAUUACAGAGUGGGCAUAAAAAAUUGUCUGACCUAAAAAUCUUUCACUCUUCCUUUAAUUUUCUUUCAUGUAUACAAUUCGUGAUUUGCUGUGGGGGUGAUCAUCAAGCUCGGUGUCUCAAUUUGGUGCCCUAGAGAGGUAGUAGCUGUUCUGUUUGAAGUAUGCCUAAAAAAUAAUGAUGUACCUUUCUAUGGAACAAUAUAAAGGAGUAACACUUGCUGAGGAGCUGAGAGGUUGUUACUUGCAUUCAAGGUGGAAUUUAUUUUAGACAAGGAACAUUUUUUUUAUGUUUAAUGUGCUUUUCAUGUGUAUGCACAAUUACUCUAUGCUAUGAGUUAUGAAAGUUUCCAGUAUCAUUGUUUGGGAAAUAUCUCUAGUUGUCACUUUUAUUUUCAAUAGGUUGUUGACUUGUGUAAUAUAUUGUGCAAGUAUAAUUAAAAAUAUUAUGGCUGCA